AUACGUAGGGGGCGAGCGUUGUCCGGAAUGAUUGGGCGUAAAGGGCGCGUAGGCGGCCUGUUAAGUCUGGAGUGAAAGUCCUGUUUUCAAGAUGGGAAUUGCUUUGGAUACUGAUGGGCUUGAGUGCAGGAGAGGUUAUCGGAAUUCCCGGUGUAGCGGUGAAAUGCGUAGAGAUCGGGAGGAACACCAGUGGCGAAGGCGGGUAACUGGACUGCAACUGACGCUGAGGCGCGAAAGUGUGGGGAGCAAACAGGAUUAGAUACCCUGGUAGUCCACGCCCUAAACGAUGAAUACUAGGUGUGGGGGGACUGACCCCCUCCGUGCCGGAGUAAACACAAUAAGUAUUCCACCUGGGGAGUACGACCGCAAGGUUGAAACUCAAAGGAAUUGACGGGG
rnacentral:rRNA from 1 species